rnacentral:lncRNA from 10 species
UUUUAGGAUAAGUGGAGUGAAUUGUGAAUUCUGACUGCUCUGGUCUGAUCCUAAGUUUCAGUUUUUAGCUAGGUCUGCUCAGUUCAUGAAAUCACAGUGGGCAGGGACCUUCACACAAAGCACCGAGGAUGAGAUGAAUGACAGGAGAGAGGGCAGAUUGGCAGAGCACUGUGUGGGAAAUUAAGCAGUCCCUGGUCUCAUGUCUUACCAUUGCAAUAAUCAGAAGAGCAGGUCUCAUAUCUUGCCUCAGUUUUUUAGGGUUUGAAGCAACAUGGAUCUCUCAAAUGUGAGCACCAAGACUGAAAACCACUAAGGAUAAUGAGAAGCUGUCUUUGUGCACACAUUUUGGUCUCCUCCCAUCCAUGCUGGAAAUAGCCACUUCAAUAUCAUCAGAAGGGUAUAAUGCUGGGAGACACUCUCUGGCCUCAUGGAGUUCCCUGUCCAGUUGGAUGGACACAAAGGCAAGAAGACACAGGGAGCGUGACAGCAGCUAUGAGAGGUGUUGGAGCCUGCGGCUGGGGUGGGCGCGGUGCCGGAAGGCUUCCUGAAGGGAAGGGCUUCUCCACCAGAUCCUAAAAACCAAGUAAGAGAUAGUCAAAUAAAGGAG